UAACAAAAACAAAAGACAAUUCUUGGAAAAAAUUGUGAACAAAUUCCCAUUGAAAUCGGAUUUCCUUAAGCAAAAUUUUAUGUACUAGUUUUAUAUACCAUUCUGAAACUGAAAUUCUGACUGCCAUCUUUGAACAUAAAUAAUCUAUGUAACAAACGCGCAUAUACAUACGAGUAUAUUAUAUAUAUUUUACUAACGUUAAACGAAAAUUAAUUAUUUGAAUAUUAUAUUAUUAAGGAGUUGUUCCUGUUAAAAACUUAUUUAAAUAAUUGAUAUAUCUCCAUUCCAAUAUAAUUUGUGAUGUUUAAGUGAGUUAACAUUACCACGCACGCCCGCAAGUUUUGAUUGAAAGCAAAAGAUGUGCAUAGCCUAAAACGUUAGGCGUAGAAGAUAUUAAAUUAUCAAUGGAAAAAGACUAACAUCAGUCCAAUUAGAAAUAUUACACACCUUUCAUAUUAGUCGCGCAACUGAAAUUCGCCGUAAAAAGUUCACAUUUGUAAUAUCGAAAAGGAAAACAUGGAGUUGGAAGGAUGCCUUGAUCGCAGGAAGACAGAAAUAUGGACGCCAGCAAGUAGGGAGAGAAAAUGCUAUUGGAUAUUCAAUAUGAAUGAAGUGAAUGAGCGGCUGCAGAUGCUGACAGCUUGACAUUUUGCUAAGCACACACCGAGGAAGAAGCAAAUGGCACGGCUGCAAAUUUGCUAAGCUUUUGUACUCAGGGGCUGCUGGGCGUGAUUCACUUGGGGAAGCUGUAGUAGGUGGUGGCGGUGGCGGAGGAGGCGGCGGCGGUGGCGGCG